UAGGGAAUAUUAGUAAUGGACGAAAGUCUGAUCUAGCAACACCGCGUGUGCGAAGAGGGCCUUCGGGUCGUAAAGCACUUUUUGGAAGGAAUAGGAAGGAAUGUACUUCCAGAAUAAGUCUCGGUUAACUACGUGCCAGCAGCCGCGGUAACACGUAGGAGGCGAACGUUAUCCGGAUUUACUGGGCGUAAAGCGCGUGUAGGUGGUUCUGUAAGUAGGGCGUGAAAGCUCCUGGCUCAACUGGGAGAGGCCGUUCUAAACUUCAGAACUAGAGGAUGGUAGAGGGAGGUGGAAUUCCAGGUGUAGCGGUGGAAUGCGCAGAUAUCUGGAGGAACACCAGUGGCGAAGGCGGCCUCCUGGACCAUUCCUGACACUCAGACGCGAAAGCUAGGGUAGCAAACG
rnacentral:rRNA from 1 species